UGGGGAAUUUUGGACAAUGGGCGAAAGCCUGAUCCAGCAAUGCCGCGUGUGUGAAGAAGGCCUUCGGGUUGUAAAGCACUUUUGUCCGGAAAGAAAUCCUUGGCUCUAAUACAGUCGGGGGAUGACGGUACCGGAAGAAUAAGCACCGGCUAACUACGUGCCAGCAGCCGCGGUAAUACGUAGGGUGCAGGGCGUUAAUCGGAAUUACUGGGCGUAAAGCGUGCGCAGGCGGUUUGCUAAGACCGAUGUGAAAUCCCCGGGCUCAACCUGGGAACUGCAUUGGUGACUGGCAGGCUAGAGUAUGGCAGAGGGGGGUAGAAUUCCACGUGUAGCAGUGAAAUGCGUAGAGAUGUGGAGGAAUACCGAUGGCGAAGGCAGCCCCCUGGGCCAAUACUGACGCUCAUGCACGAAAGCGUGGGGAGCAAACAGGAUUAGAUACCCUGGUAGUCCACGCCCCUAAACGAUGUCAACUAGUUGUUGGGGAUUCAUUUCCUUAGUAACGUAGCUAACGCGUGAAGUUGACCGCCUGGGGAGUACGGUCGCAAGAUUAAAACUCAAAGGAAUUGACGGGGUCAUAGCUGUUUCCU
rnacentral:rRNA from 1 species